UACGAAGGGGGCUAGCGUUGUUCGGAAUUACUGGGCGUAAAGCGUGCGCAGGCGGUCUUCCAAGUCAGUGGUGAAAGCCCGGAGCUCAACUCCGGAACUGCCAUUGAAACUGUGAGACUCGAGUACGAGAGAGGUGAGUGGAAUUCCCAGUGUAGAGGUGAAAUUCGUAGAUAUCGGGAGGAACACCUGUGGCGAAAGCGGCUCACUGGACCACAACUGACGCUGAGGCGCGAAAGCUAGGGGAGCAAACAGG
rnacentral:rRNA from 1 species